rnacentral:lncRNA from 1 species
CUUUUCUCCCUAACGUUUAGGGAACCAGCACCCACUGGACCCAAAGUUCUAUCUCUUUCUCUUCAGCUUUCUGUAACAGUUAAAAAUAUUCUUUUUCAGCAUGCUUGAAGAGAUUGAGUCCACACUCAUGAAGACAUUACUCACAGGGAGCCCCUCCACUGCAUGGUGA